GGUGAACGCUGGCGGCGUGCUUAAGACAUGCAAGUCGAACGGGCUCUUCGGAGCCAGUGGCGCACGGGUGAGUAACGCGUAACUGACCUACCCCAAAGUCGCGGAUAACGAUUCGAAAGAAUCGCUAAUACGUGAUGUGCUGUCAGAUCCUGUUCUGCCAGUAAAGAUUUAUUGCUUUGGGAUGGGGUUGCGUUCCAUCAGCUAGUUGGUGGGGUAAAGGCCCACUAAGGCGACGACGGAUCGCCGGCCUGAGAGGGUGGCCGGCCACAGGGCACUGAGACACGGGUCCCACUCCUACGGGAGGCAGCAGUUAGGAAUCUUCCACAAUGGGCGAAAGCCUGAUGGAGCGACGCCGCGUGAGGGAUGAAGGUCUUCGGAUCGUAAACCUCUGAAUCAGGGACGAAAGACGCGAAAGCGGGAUGACGGUACCUGAGUAAUAGCACCGGCUAACUCCGUG
rnacentral:rRNA from 1 species